rnacentral:rRNA from 1 species
AAAAGAACUUUGAAGAGAGAGUUCAAGAGUACGUGAAACCGCCCAGAGGUAAACGGGUGGAUCCGCAAAGUCGGCCCGACGAAUUCAGCUCGGCGUUGUCCGGGCCGGGACGUGCGCGCCUCGGGAUCUUACGACCCUGGCGCGUCGCCUCCGGCCGUCGCCGCGUGCACUUUCGUCGGGUAGAGCGCCACGACCGGUUUACCGGCGACCAGAAACCGUCGGAGAAGGUAGGCGGGGACUCUCGGGUUCCUGCUGUUACAGCUCCGGCGACCCGGCUCGCCGCGUGGACCGAGGAACGGCCGCGUCCCUUGGCUACCCCUCCCUCCCGGAGCGUCGGUCGUGCAGAGACUGGGCAACCGUGUCUGUCGGCCGCGAACUGGGAUCGGUCCGGGGAAUGCCUGGGUCGCUCAGGGUCGGUGGCGAAUCGGUCGGCCUUCCAUCCGACCCGUCUUGAAACACGGACCAAGGAGUCUAACAUGUGCGCGAGUCGUUGGGUUGUACGAAACCUGCAGGCGCAGUGAAAGCGAGGGCCGAUCUUCGGUCGUGCCCAGGUGGGAUCCUUCCCUCUCGCGGGGGAGGCGCACCACCGGCCCGUCUCAUUCGCGUCGUCGAGGAGGCGGAGCAAGAGCGUACACGCUGGGACCCGAAAGAUGGUGAACUAUGCCCGAGUAGGGCGAAGCCAGAGGAAACUCUGGUGGAAGUCCGUAGCGAUUCUGACGUGCAAAUCGAUCGUCAAAUUUGGGGUAUAGGGGGCGAAAGACUAAUCGAACCAUC